AUCCAACUGACCAGUUCAAAAUAGGACAGAACACGUGUCCUAGAU
rnacentral:hammerhead_ribozyme from 1 species